rnacentral:rRNA from 1 species
CCGAAAGGCGGGAGUGCCCGCAAGGGAGCGCGGAGACAGGUGGUGCAUGGCUGUCGUCAGCUCGUGUCGUGAGAUGUUGGGUUAAGUCCCGCAACGAGCGCAACCCUCACCCCUUGUUGCCACCAGGUCAGGCUGGGCACUCUAGGGGAACUGCCCCGGUCAACGGGGAGGAAGGCGGGGAUGACGUCAAGUCAUCAUGCCCCUUACGUCCUGGGCUACACACGUGCUACAAUGGCCGGUACAAAGGGAUGCCACACCGUGAGGUAGAGCUAAACCCAAAAAGCCGGUCUAAGUUCAGAUUGGAGUCUGCAACUCGACUCCAUGAAGGAGGAAUCGCUAGUAAUCGCGUAUCAGCACGACGCGGUGAAUACGUUCCCGGGCCUUGUACACACCGCCCGUCACACCACGAAAGCCAG